rnacentral:rRNA from 1 species
AGCGAACGCUGGCGGCAUGCCUAAUACAUGCAAGUCGAGCGAGCGGCGGACGGGUGAGUAUUGUAUGGGGAUCUGCCCGAUAGAGGGGGAUAACUACUGGAAACGGUGGCUAAUACCGCAUACUGUCGGAUGAACCCAUAGUGGAUUAGCUAGUAGGUGGGGUAAAGGCUCACCUAGGCGACGAUCCCUCACUGGGCUGAGAGGAUGAUCGGCCACACUGGGACUGAGACACGGCCCAGACGCCUACGGGAGGCAGCAGUGGGGAAUAUUUCACAAUGGGCGCAAGUCUGAUGCAGCCAUGCCGCGUGUAUGAAGAAGGCCUUCGGGUUGUAAAGUACUGUCAGCAGGGAAGCGUUACCCGCAGAAGAAGCACCGGCUAACUCCGUGCCAGCAGCCGCGGUAAUUC